rnacentral:rRNA from 1 species
GUGAAACCGCGAAUGGCUCAUUAAAUCACACCUAAUCUACUGGAUAGUAGUCAGUUACUUGGAUACCUGAGGUAAUUCUUCAGCUAAUACAUGCGCACAAGCCUCGAACUUACGUGAGAGGCGCUUUUAUUAGAUCAAAACCAGUCGGCUUCGGCCGUCCCUUUGGUGACUCUGAAUAACUUUGGGCUGAUCGCAUGGCCUCGCGCCGGCGACAUAUCCUUCGAAGGUGUGCCCUAUCAACUGUCGACUGUGGCAUAGACGCCCACAGUGGUUUUGACGGGUAACGGGGAAUCAGGGUUCGAUUCCGGAGAGGGAGCCUUAAAAACGGCUACCACAUCCAAGGAAGGCAGCAGGCACGCAAAUUACCCAAUGACCGAAGGUCGAGGUAGUGACGAAAAAUAACGAUACGGGACUCAUCCGAGGCCCCGUAAUCGGAAUGAGUACACUUUAAAACCUUUCCAACGAGGAUCUAUUGGAGGGCAAGUCUGGUGCCAGCAGCCGCGGUAAUUCCAGCUCCAAUAGCGUAUAUUAAAGUUGUUGCGGUUAAAAAGCUCGUAGUUGGAUCUCGGCGGGUAGAGGGCGGUAUGCUUGCUAGCAUCACUGCCCUAUUACCCGUAGUUUUGCUAGAGGUUUCAGGGUGCUCUUAAUCGAGUGUCCUGAGAUGCUAGCAGGUUUACUUUGAAAAAAUUAGAGUGCUCAAAGCAGGCUUUUACGCUUGAAUAUUCGUGCAUGGAAUAAUAGAAUAGGAAGUCGUUUCUAUUUUGUUGGUUUUCGGAAAUCGACUUAAUGAUUAAUAGGGACAGUCGGGGGCAUUUGUAUUCAAACGACAGAGGUGAAAUUCUUGGACCGUUUGAAGACAAACUACUGCGAAAGCAUUUGCCAAGAAUGUUUUCAUUAAUCAAGAACGAAAG